rfam:Frischella perrara strain PEB0191, complete genome.
AAAUUGAAGAGUUUGAUCAUGGCUCAGAUUGAACGCUGGCGGCAGGCUUAACACAUGCAAGUCGAACGGUAACAUGAGUGCUUGCACUUGAUGACGAGUGGCGGACGGGUGAGUAAUGUAUGGGGAUCUGCCGAAUGGAUUGGGACAACAGUUGGAAACGACUGCUAAUACCGAAUAAUGUCGCGAGACCAAAGGGUGCUUUCGGGCACUUGCCAUUUGAUGAACCCAUAUGAGAUUAGCUAGUUGGUGGGGUAAAGGCUCACCAAGGCGACGAUCUCUAGCUGGUCUGAGAGGAUGACCAGCCACACUGGAACUGAGACACGGUCCAGACUCCUACGGGAGGCAGCAGUGGGGAAUAUUGCACAAUGGGGGAAACCCUGAUGCAGCCAUGCCGCGUGUAUGAAGAAGGCCUUAGGGUUGUAAAGUACUUUCGGUGAUGAGGAAGUUAUGUGUGGGAUAAGCACAUAUAAUUGACGUUAGUUACAGAAGAAGCACCGGCUAACUCCGUGCCAGCAGCCGCGGUAAUACGGAGGGUGCGAGCGUUAAUCGGAAUGACUGGGCGUAAAGGGCAUGUAGGCGGAUGAUUAAGUUAGGUGUGAAAGCCUCGGGCUCAACCUGAGAAUAGCAUUUAAAACUGGUGAUCUGGAGUACUGUAGAGGGAGGUAGAAUUCCACGUGUAGCGGUGAAAUGCGUAGAGAUGUGGAGGAAUACCGGUGGCGAAGGCGGCCUUCUGGACAGAUACUGACGCUGAGAUGCGAAAGCGUGGGGAGCAAACAGGAUUAGAUACCCUGGUAGUCCACGCUGUAAACGAUGUCGAUUUGGAGUUUGUUGCCUAGAGUGAUGGGCUCCGAAGCUAACGCGAUAAAUCGACCGCCUGGGGAGUACGGCCGCAAGGUUAAAACUCAAAUGAAUUGACGGGGGCCCGCACAAGCGGUGGAGCAUGUGGUUUAAUUCGAUGCAACGCGAAGAACCUUACCUGGUCUUGACAUCCACAGAAUCUUUCAGAGAUGAGGGAGUGCCUUCGGGAACUGUGAGACAGGUGCUGCAUGGCUGUCGUCAGCUCGUGUUGUGAAAUGUUGGGUUAAGUCCCGCAACGAGCGCAACCCUUAUCCUUUGUUGCCAGCGAUUAGGUCGGGAACUCAAAGGAGACUGCCGUUGAUAAAACGGAGGAAGGUGGGGACGACGUCAAGUCAUCAUGGCCCUUACGACCAGGGCUACACACGUGCUACAAUGGCGUAUACAAAGGGAAGCGAAGGUGCGAGCUGGAGCGGACCUCCUAAAGUACGUCUAAGUCCGGAUUGGAGUCUGCAACUCGACUCCAUGAAGUCGGAAUCGCUAGUAAUCGUGAAUCAGAAUGUCACGGUGAAUACGUUCCCGGGCCUUGUACACACCGCCCGUCACACCAUGGGAGUGGGUUGCACCAGAAGUAGAUAGCUUAACCGCAAGGGGGGCGUUUACCACGGUGUGAUUCAUGACUGGGGUGAAGUCGUAACAAGGUAACCGUAGGGGAACCUGCGGUUGGAUCACCUCCUUA